CACCACAUAAAGUUUAGUUUGGUACAUAUAAUGACUUUUUUAUAGGGCCCUGAAAUGUAAUCCGCCUUCACACACUUAGAUUUGUCAAAAUAUGUCGAAAUAGUGCCAAUCUGCAAGUGAAUGAACAGAAUGGAGACUGAGAAGAUUUUCACUAAGAACAAUCUUACAAUUUUUACUAAUAUCAUAGUUAAUAAUAUUUUGACUGUAUAUUUUUAACACAAUCCCCUUAAAAUGUUUUUCCCCCCUAGUAUUUUUGAGAGAUUCAAUAUGAACCGAAUCAGUCACUUGAUUGACAGCUUGCAGCAAUGCUUUUUUUUGUGAGAUGACAGCUUGAAGAGGAGAUGAUAGGUGUGCAAUCAUUACUUCUGUCAUCAGACUGAGAAGCCAAAGGUGUUCUGACACGUAAAACAAGACAUAAAGGCUAUGAGACAAACAAGAAGACAAUCAAAACAACCUCUGAUAGCACUGUGAUCCAGAACACUCUUGAGGAAGUGCUUGGAAAAAAGCUCCUCCUCAUAUUUUACCAGCAGACAGAAAAAAAAAACUCUGAAAUGCUUAUUAUCUCAGAGCCUCCAGCCACAGAAGAGCCAGCAAAUGUGUACAAAACCACAAAAAACGAAACAGUCACUGAUCUGAAGGUCUCCACGGUGAACUGUUCAAAUCUAAGACAUUGCUGCUCCAGUGGCCUGUAUGAGAUUUCUGAUUUGACCCAAAUGAAGCGACUCUUUCUUCUGCAUCAACCGCUCUAUCCCUUCGCAAACAUAUUCUGCAUAAUAAUCAUGCAAUGAGUAUCAUCAGCAAUCAGCGAGGACAUCAGAGAGGAGCAGGCUGCUUUCCAGGUUCGAAGCUGCGAAGGCCAGUUCUUUGCACUCAAGAUCAAUCACCGAGCAAUGCCCAGAGUAGCUAAAAUUAUACACGCUGUACAUUUCAAUGAUUUCCAACAAGCCUCGAUAGCAUCCACCAUGACAGUCUCUAGAAGACUGCAGAUCACUGGAAAUUUCUAUCGAAUUGGUGCCAUUGAAAAUCAACAGCUGAGGUAAAAUCGGGAAAUUCUCAAGGAUACACUGUUUGUUUGCACUCUAUCAGAAGAGCAGACUGACUCACGAUGGAUUUAUGUCAGCAUUCGUAGACGUUGCAAACGUGAUUCUCCACAUCUGACAGGACUAGCGUGCACAGCAGACUCCACCUUCCUGAGUGUUCAAAUGUGCCAGUCAGCUUGCACAUGCAGAAGAGCAUCUGAAGGGCAGUGGAUAAGGCGACUACACCUCUCUAUCAUUGCAAGAGGAAAUUGGAUGGCAGGGGUGUGAGAUGAGCCAUUUUCCAGCCCAAUUGCAACGCGACGGCUGCAAGGGCAGUGUGUCAGUGGCAGAAGGUAAUCCUGCCUGGCCCUUCUUGCAGCAUCAGGCAUUAUUCACGGCUCUGGGGGAGCAGUCAUUACCACAGUGUUAAUGUCCUUCCUCUACUUCCUGGCCGCCAGCACUGAACAUUAACAUGCUCAGGGUGAGGCCUUAUUGUCACUUUCCAUUUCUUCUUCUCUGUCUUUAAGCCUGCAGUUUCUUUAUUUACUCUUUACUUCAUUCAGUUUACAUUUUCAGGUCGACGUAACAGUAGACAUGUCUGUAAAUGAAGAGUUCAUUUGCAAAAACCGAUAAACGCCUUUUUUUUUUUUUUUAAAUGAACUAAGUGCUGUGCAUUAUUCUCCAUAUAUAGCACGUUCUGUACCCUAAAUCCAUUUUGUCAAAAAAGCCGGUUUUAUCCACUGUCAGGCAUCGCAAGUUCGUUUUACAGCAGAAGCCGACAAGCGCCCUUGUUGUUUGUGUACAGAAACCGAUAAGUCCGUUUUAGCGAAUCAGCGCGCAGUAUUCAGGUCAGGUGACAAGGCUUCUAGUCACUUCAAAAAGACGCGCUAGCUGAGGGAAGUUUUGUCAAAGCUGAUUAAAAGUGAUCGAGGAUUUAUAAUUUCGACUCCUGUUUAAUGAGGUCAAAUCUUUCCAAGUAGCCCAGAACCUGCUUGUUUGGGAAUUACUGAGUAGAGGGCAUCUACUGGGAGAGAAGUCAGACAGGUGGGUCUUAGAAGACAGAGGUCAAAUCUGACACCGACAGACAGUGAAGUGAGCAUCAGUGAUGACUGAGAGAAGCAGCCCAGAACCAAGCAAUCAGUAUGGAUCAUACUCUGAGGAGAUUUGAAGGAGGACACCACCGGCUGGCUCGACAGAUUUGCAUCCAGUUCAUCUUAGUCUCAGUUAAGUGGGUGAAAUGAGGCGAAAUGUGUGCGCCCUACCUGCACAUUCCUCAUGCAUGUACCUGGCAUCUGUUCGACCAGCCUGAUCGCUGUCUGCCAAUUAACACCAUAGUGAAGUCCGACUGCAGUUGUGGUAGAGUACAGAGGGCAUCCUACAAGAAAUGGGAUAUCCUGGUCACCAUCCGCUUUCAUGUGUGAAUCUUUAUCGAAACAUCCACAGAAAAGUCAUACAGGUUUGAGGCGACAUUAGGGGGCGUCAGACAAGCUUGCCUGCAUAAAGCAGAAGCAGCCUUUGACUGACGUUAUCUCAGGCUAACACUGUUCCGCACACUGCAGACCGCUAUUGAAUUCCAACACAGCUCGGUACUCCUUGCCAUUUCGUCUGGUCUGAUGAUGUAUAGCCAGUGUUGUGGUGGCAUUUGUAAUCACGAGCAUACAAACAAUAUCUCAGGUAAUUGCAUUUGGUGAGUUGUGGAAAUUUUGUACUUGUAUACCCAGAGGCACAGUGACCAGCUUAUGACUAUUUGCAUAAAAGUGAGUGGUGCGUUUGUUUCGGUUAGGUUUCUCCAUGCUCAGUCCGGCGAACAAGAGAGAACCGAUAUCUAUCUGUAUGAUGGAUUACUCUGUGUCCCUGUGGUAGAGCUACAGGAGCUGAUGCCCGAGUCAUUUGAGUGAAGGAUCAGAUAGGCACUUUGGCCGUCUAAGUAAUAGGAAGUCUGGUUGAAUGUGUAAAGUUUUUAGAAGUGCCCAAAGGUGGAAGGGAGUGGCCAAAUGUGUCUUAGCGCAACUGGAAGAUCUAAAGUAGUGGUUGUAGACUGGCUUUACAUUGGACACCCAGUGGCGACCCAACAUCAAAACUGUUUAGUGUACAAAAGUAAAAAAAAAAAAAAAAAGUCUUUUAAAUCGAACAUACAUGGACAUUUCCAUGAACUGCAUAUACCUAAAAAAAUGCAAAAUGAUUAACAUGUCAUACUCUACUAACGUAAGCAAAAGUUGAUAAUAUUUGUAAUGUUUUUGAAAGAAGUGUCUUAUGCUCACCACUGCUUCAUUUAUUUGAUCAGAAAAAC